rnacentral:rRNA from 1 species
GGGUUGUGAGGUUAAGCGACUAAGCGUACACGGUGGAUGCCCUGGCAGUCAGAGGCGAUGAAGGACGUGCUAAUCUGCGAUAAGCGUCGGUAAGGUGAUAUGAACCGUUAUAACCGGCGAUUUCCGAAUGGGGAAACCCAGUGUGUUUCGACACACUAUCAUUAACUGAAUCCAUAGGUUAAUGAGGCGAACCGGGGGAACUGAAACAUCUAAGUACCCCGAGGAAAAGAAAUCAACCGAGAUUCCCCCAGUAGCGGCGAGCGAACGGGGAGGAGCCCAGAGCCUGAAUCAGUGUGUGUGUUAGUGGAAGCGUCUGGAAAGGCGCGCGAUACAGGGUGACAGCCCCGUACACAAAAAUGCACAUGCUGUGAGCUCGAUGAGUAGGGCGGGACACGUGGUAUCCUGUCUGAAUAUGGGGGGACCAUCCUCCAAGGCUAAAUACUCCUGACUGACCGAUAGUGAACCAGUACCGUGAGGGAAAGGCGAAAAGAACCCCGGCGAGGGGAGUGAAAAAGAACCUGAAACCGUGUACGUACAAGCAGUGGGAGCACGCUUAGGCGUGUGACUGCGUACCUUUUGUAUAAUGGGUCAGCGACUUAUAUUCUGUAGCAAGGUUAACCGAAUAGGGGAGCCGAAGGGAAACCGAGUCUUAACUGGGCGUUAAGUUGCAGGGUAUAGACCCGAAACCCGGUGAUCUAGCCAUGGGCAGGUUGAAGGUUGGGUAACACUAACUGGAGGACCGAACCGACUAAUGUUGAAAAAUUAGCGGAUGACUUGUGGCUGGGGGUGAAAGGCCAAUCAAACCGGGAGAUAGCUGGUUCUCCCCGAAAGCUAUUUAGGUAGCGCCUCGUGAAUUCAUCUCCGGGGGUAGAGCACUGUUUCGGCAAGGGGGUCAUCCCGACUUACCAACCCGAUGCAAACUGCGAAUACCGGAGAAUGUUAUCACGGGAGACACACGGCGGGUGCUAACGUCCGUCGUGAAGAGGGAAACAACCCAGACCGCCAGCUAAGGUCCCAAAGUCAUGGUUAAGUGGGAAACGAUGUGGGAAGGCCCAGACAGCCAGGAUGUUGGCUUAGAAGCAGCCAUCAUUUAAAGAAAGCGUAAUAGCUCACUGGUCGAGUCGGCCUGCGCGGAAGAUGUAACGGGGCUAAACCAUGCACCGAAGCUGCGGCAGCGACGCUGAUGCGUUGUUGGGUAGGGGAGCGUUCUGUAAGCCUGUGAAGGUGUGCUGUGAGGCAUGCUGGAGGUAUCAGAAGUGCGAAUGCUGACAUAAGUAACGAUAAAGCGGGUGAAAAGCCCGCUCGCCGGAAGACCAAGGGUUCCUGUCCAACGUUAAUCGGGGCAGGGUGAGUCGACCCCUAAGGCGAGGCCGAAAGGCGUAGUCGAUGGGAAACAGGUUAAUAUUCCUGUACUUGGUGUUACUGCGAAGGGGGGACGGAGAAGGCUAUGUUGGCCGGGCGACGGUUGUCCCGGUUUAAGCGUGUAGGCUGGU